rnacentral:miRNA from 1 species
UGGGCAGCUGCUAGGCAUGGAUCUGUUGGAUCCAGGGAAGCCCUGCGGCUGGUGGGACAUGGAUCGGGGCUGUGUCCUAGAGCAGUGUGCUCCUGGCUGGCUCAC